UACGGAGGGGGCUAGCGUUGUUCGGAAUUACUGGGCGUAAAGCGCACGUAGGCGGCUUUGUAAGUUAGAGGUGAAAGCCCAGGGCUUAACCCUGGAAUUGCCUUUAAGACUGCAUCGCUAGAAUCGUGGAGAGGUGAGUGGAAUUCCGAGUGUAGAGGUGAAAUUCGUAGAUAUUCGGAAGAACACCAGUGGCGAAGGCGACUCACUGGACACGUAUUGACGCUGAGGUGGCGAAAGCGUGGGAGCAAACAGG
rnacentral:rRNA from 1 species